CCUACGGGAGACAGCAGUGGGGAAUAUUGGGCAAUGGGCGCAAGCCUGACCCAGCAACGCCGCGUGAAGGAAGAAGGCUUUCGGGUUGUAAACUUCUUUUCUCAGGGACGAAGCAAGUGACGGUACCCGAGGAAUAAGCAGCGGCGAACUACGUGCCAGCAGCGGCGGUAAGACGUAGGUGGAAAGCGUUAGCCGGCUUUACUGGGGGUAAAGGGCGUGUAGGCGGGAAAGCAAGUCAGAUGUUAAAACCAUGGGCGCAACCUUUGGCCUGCAUUUGAAACUGUUUUUCUUGAGUACGGGAGAGGCAGACGGAAUGCCUAGUGUAGCGGUGAAAUGCGUAGAGAUUAGGAGGAACACCAGUGGCGAAGGCGGUCGGCUGGACAGCAACUGACGCUGAGGCGCGAAAGCGUGGGGAGCAAACAGGAUUAGAUACCCUUGUAGUC
rnacentral:rRNA from 1 species